GAUGAACGCUGGCGGCGUGCCUAAUACAUGCAAGUCGAGCGAACAGACGAGGAGCUUGCUCCUCUGACGUUAGCGGCGGACGGGUGAGUAACACGUGGAUAACCUACCUAUAAGACUGGGAUAACUUCGGGAAACCGGAGCUAAUACCGGAUAAUAUAUUGAACCGCAUGGUUCAAUAGUGAAAGACGGUUUUGCUGUCACUUAUAGAUGGAUCCGCGCCGCAUUAGCUAGUUGGUAAGGUAACGGCUUACCAAGGCAACGAUGCGUAGCCGACCGGAGAGGGUGAUCGGCCACCCUGGAACUGGACCACGGUCCAGACUCCUACGAGAGGCAGCAGUAGGGAAUCGUCCGCAAUGGGCGAAAGCCUGACGGAGCAACGCCGCGUGAGUUAUGAAGGUCUUCGGUUCGUAAAACUCUGUUAUUGGGGAAGAACAAAUGUGUAAGUAACUAUGCACGUCUUGACGGUACCUAAUCAGAAAGCCACGGCUAACUACGUG
rnacentral:rRNA from 1 species